rnacentral:rRNA from 1 species
CAGUCGCCGCGGUAAAACGUAGGGUGCGAGCGUUAAUCGGAAUUACUGGGCGUAAAGCGUGCGCAGGCGGUUAUAUAAGACAGAUGUGAAAUCCCCGGGCUCAACCUGGGAAUGGCAGUGGAUACUGGCAAGCUAGAGUGUGUCAGAGGAUGGUGGAAUUCCCGGUGUAGCGGUGAAAUGCGUAGAGAUCGGGAGGAACAUCAGUGGCGAAGGCGGCCAUCUGGGACAACACUGACGCUGAGGCACGAAAGCGUGGGGAGCAAACAGGAUUAGAUACCCCAGUAGUCCCUGUCUCUUAUAC